rnacentral:rRNA from 1 species
UGAACGCUGGCGGCAGGCCUAACACAUGCAAGUCGAACGGACCCUUCGGGGUUAGUGGCGGACGGGUGAGUAACACGUGGGAACGUGCCCUUUGGUUCGGAACAACACAGGGAAACUUGUGCUAAUACCGGAUAAGCCCUUCGGGGGAAAGAUUUAUUGCCAUUGGAGCGGCCCGCGUUGGAUUAGGUAGUUGGUGAGGUAAAGGCUCACCAAGCCUGCGAUCCAUAGCUGGUCUGAGAGGAUGAUCAGCCACAUUGGGACUGAGACACGGCCCAAACUCCUACGGGAGGCAGCAGUGGGGAAUCUUGCGCAAUGGGCGAAAGCCUGACGCAGCCAUGCCGCGUGAAUGAUGAAGGUCUUAGGAUUGUAAAAUUCUUUCAGCGGGGACGAUAAUGACGGUACCCGCAGAAGAAGCCCCGGCUAACUUCGUGCCAGCAGCCGCGGUAAUCUGAUGGCGCGAGG